rnacentral:rRNA from 1 species
CAUGCAGUCGAACGGCAGCAUGAUCUAGCUUGCUAGAUUGAUGGCGAGUGGCGAACGGAUGAGUAAUACAUCGAAACGUGCCCUGUAGUGGGGGAUAACUAGUCGAAAGAUUAGCUAAUACCGCAUACGACCUGAGGGUGAAAGUGGGGGACCGCAAGGCCUCAUGCUAUAGGAGCGGCCGAUGUCCGAUUAGCUAGUUGGUGGGGUAAAGGCCCACCAAGGCGACGAUCAGUAGCUGGUCUGAGAGGACGAUCAGCCACACUGGGACUGAGACACGGCCCAGACUCCUACGGGAGGCAGCAGUGGGGAAUUUUGGACAAUGGGCGAAAGCCUGAUCCAGCAAUGCCGCGUGUGUGAAGAAGGCCUUCGGGUUGUAAAGCACUUUUGUCCGGAAAGAAAUGGCUCUGGUUAAUACCUGGGGUCGAUGACGGUACCGGAAGAAUAAGGACCGGCUAACUACGUGCCAGCAG